GCGAAAGUAAGAAAGGGCGCAUGGCGGAUGCCUUGGCUCACGGAGGCGAUGAAGGACGUGACAAGCUGCGAUAAGCGCGGGGUAGGAGCAAAUAUCCCUUGAUCCCGCGAUUUCCGAAUGGGACAACCCAGCCGUCUGCAGGGCGGCUAUCCGUAAUUGAGUUACGGAGGCGAACGGAGGGAACUGAAACAUCUUAGUACCUCCAGGAGAAGAAAACAACAGUGAUUCCCCCAGUAGUGGCGAGCGACCGGGGAGGAGCCCAAACCGCUUGUGUGGCAACGCACAUGCGGGGUAGUAGGACCAAGACUUGGUACCCUGACCGGGAAUAGAAUGUUCUGGAAAGUUCAACCAUAGCGGGUGAGAGUCCCGUAUAUGAACCGGAAUGGGGCCUUUUGGUAUCCUGAGUAACGCGGGACACGAGUAAUCCUGCGCGAAUCCGCCGGGCCCAUCCGGCAAGGCUAAAUACUCCCGUGAGACCGAUAGCGAACGAGUACCGUGAGGGAAAGGUGAAAAGCACCCAUAGUAUGGGAGUGAAAGAGUUCCUGAAACCAUGCGCCUACAAGCGGUCGGAGCCAUUUUUUCAUGGUGACGGCGUGCCUUUUGCAUAAUGAACCUACGAGUUGCCAUGGCGUGCGAGGUUAAGGGCGAUGACGCCCCGAGCCGCAGUGAAAGCGAGGCUGAAGAGGCCGUCGAGUACGCCGGGGCAGACGCGAAACCGAGUGAUCUACACAUGUCCAGGCUGAAGUCCCGGUAACACGGGAUGGAGGGCCGCACCAAUAAGCGUUGAAAAGCUUCUGGAUGAGGUGUGUGUAGGAGUGAAAGGCCAAUCAAACUCGGAGAUAGCUCGUACUCCCCGAAAGGCAUUUA
rnacentral:ncRNA from 1 species